rnacentral:rRNA from 1 species
GAUGAACGCUGGCGGCGUGCCUAAUACAUGCAAGUCGAGCGAACGGGCGAGAAGCUUGCUUCUCUGAUGUUAGCGGCGGACGGGUGAGUAACACGUGGAUAACCUACCUAUAAGACUGGGAUAACUUCGGGAAACCGGAGCUAAUACCGGAUAAUAUUUUGAACCGCAUGGUUCAAAAGUGAAAGACGGUCUUGCUGUCACUUAUAGAUGGAUCCGCGCUGCAUUAGCUAGUUGGUAAGGUAACGGCUUACUAAGGCAACGAUGCAUAGCCGACCUGAGAGGGUGAUCGGCCACACCGGAACUGAGACACGGUCCAGACUCCUACGGGAGGCAGCAGUAGGGAAUCUUCCGCAAUGGGCGAAAGCCUGACGGAGCAACGGCGCGUGAGUGAUGAAGGUCUUCGGAUCGUAAAACUCUGUUAUUAGGGAAGAACAUAUGUGUAAGUAACUGUGCACAUCUUGACGGUACCUAAUCAGAAAGCCACGGCUAACUACGUG